AGCGUUAUCCGGAUUUAUUGGGUUUAAAGGGUCCGUAGGCGGACCGAUAAGUCAGUGGUGAAAUCUCAUAGCUUAACUAUGAAACUGCCGUUGAUACUGUCGGUCUUGAGUAAAUUUGAAGUGGCUGGAAUAAGUAGUGUAGCGGUGAAAUGCAUAGAUAUUACUUAGAACACCAAUUGCGAAGGCAGGUCACUAAGAUUUAACUGACGCUGAGGGACGAAAGCGUGGGGAGCGAACAGGAUUAGAUACCCUGGUAGUCCACGCCGUAAACGAUGCUAACUCGUUUUUGGGGCGCAAGCUUCAGAGACCAAGCGAAAGUGAUAAGUUAGCCACCUGGGGAGUACGUCCGCAAGGAUGAAACUCAAAGGAA
rnacentral:rRNA from 1 species